rnacentral:rRNA from 1 species
UACGGGGGGAGCAAGCGUUGUUCGGAUUUACUGGGCGUAAAGGGCGCGUAGGCGGCCACCGCAAGUCGACUGUGAAAUCUCCGGGCUUAACCCGGAAAGGUCAGCCGAUACUGCGGGGCUAGAGUGCAGAAGGGGCAACUGGAAUUCUCGGUAUAGCGGUGAAAUGCGUAGAUAUCGAGAGGAACACCUGCGGCGAAGGCGGGUUGCUGGGCUGACACUGACGCUGAGGCGCGAAAGCUAGUGGAGCGAACGGG